UAUAGUCAUUAUUCUUAGGGAAGAUGCUAUUGUGUUGUUUUGUUUCUUGCAUAGCAAAGAGACCGAUUAAAAUGAAGUACUAUUAUAUAGGUGUUGUGGCCACUUGAAAGAGGAAUGAGCCUUACUUGGAUUUAUCCCAAAAUGAAGAGAGAGAAAAUAAAGAUUAAACAAAACAAAAACAGAGAAAAAAUAGAGCACUAAAGAAGAGGAAAGCUUCAAGACCAUUUGGGGACAGGGAUCUUGGGUUCAAUCUUUUCUUUUCUAUGCUUUUAUGUUAAAUGGAGAUUUCUCU